GACAAAAAUCACGUCACACAGAGCUCCACAGAAGAUGAACAGAAAGAAGCACUUCCUCUUUUAUGUGCCUCUCUGACUGAAGAUCCUGAUUUCCACGGGAGAGUUAACCUGAAACGACCUUUUAAAUGAGAUCAGGCCUCCCGGCGAUGAUGACUCCUCCUUUUCACCUUCCUCAGUGUUCCUCCAGCUUCCUCUUUGACAUCCUGUUGUCGUGCGUCAGCCAUGCAAUACAUAUUUCAUGGAGGAUCCAGUGAGGGUGAGUCCUGACCAGUGGAGCGCUCUCCUGCCGUGGCCUACAUUCACCUUGAUCCCAUCUUGCCCAGGGAGCCUCAUUAUCCUCGCUGCAUCCUUCCUGGAAGCUUCUGCUGAUCAGUAAAUGCCACAAGUUCCACUCCCCGCUGUCUGUGGGAGCUCUCACCAUGGAAGGAGAACGGAGAGGAGGAGAGCCGAGGAAAAAGACAAGACUCUUUCUUUCUCACAUACCUCUGGGGAAAAAGCUUGCUGUUGGCACUCCACUUUCAGGCGUCCGCUGUGAGUCAAAUCCAUCAGACCAUUUCAAGUCUCGGAGCUCAUUGAUGGGCUGUCAAUAGUCCAAAGGCUUAACCAUUUUACUGUUCUUUGAAGGAACACACACUCUUUCAGCAGGCAUUCUCCUCAGUUUCUUUGUCAAGCAUGCCAUGCCAUCCCCCCCAAAACUCUCAUUACAUGGUGCUGCUUUGUCACCCCAAUGUUAACAAGAGAAAUUGCUGCAGUUCUGAAUUGAAGCAUUAUUCCUGUCUUCCCUCUGCCACGGGGGACAGCUUAUGAAUUAAUGAGAUGUCAGCAGAGAUGUCAUGUCUUUAUCCACUCAAUCUCUCCAGAAGAAAAAACAACCUCCAUGGAGGAAUUGAUAUAACAUAGCACCAUGAUUCUUGUCUGUCUCUGGUGGUUUGACUCAGGGGGCCUCUUUAAAAAUGC